AACACGUGGGUAACCUGCCUUAUAGUGGGGGAUAGCCUUUCGAAAGGAAGAUUAAUACCGCAUAAGAUUGUAGUAUCGCAUGAUAUAGCAAUUAAAGGAGCAAUCCGCUAUAAGAUGGACCCGCGUCGCAUUAGCUAGUUGGUGAGGUAAUGGCUCACCAAGGCGACGAUGCGUAGCCGACCUGAGAGGGUGAUCGGCCACAUUGGGACUGAGACACGGCCCAGACUCCUACGGGAGGCAGCAUG
rnacentral:rRNA from 1 species